GCUGAAGAACGUAGCGAAAUGCGAUACUUGGUGUGAAUUGCAGAAUCCCGUGAACCAUCGAGUCUUUGAACGCAAGUUGCGCCCGAAGCCAUCAGGUUGAGGGCACGUCUGCCUGGGCGUCACAUAUCGUUGUUCGAUGCCUAUCGCAUUGCGAUAGGACUUAGGGCGAAUGAUGGCUUCCCGUGAGCGUUGUUGCCUCGCGGUUGGUUGAAAAUCGAGUCCUUGGUAGGGUGUGCCAUGAUAGAUGGUGGUCGAGUUAGCACGAGACUGAUCAUGUGCAUGCUCCCCAAAAUAUGGCCUCUGUGACCCACACGCGUCUUUUGACGCUCAUGACGAGACCUCAGGUCAGGCGGGGCUACCCGCUGAAUUUAAGCAUAUCAAUAAGCGGAGGA
rnacentral:misc_RNA from 1 species